rnacentral:rRNA from 1 species
AUUGAACGCUGGCGGCAGGCCUAACACAUGCAAGUCGAGCGGAUGAAGGGAGCUUGCUCCUGGAUUCAGCGGCGGACGGGUGAGUAAUGCCUAGGAAUCUGCCUGGUAGUGGGGGAUAACGUCCGGAAACGGGCGCUAAUACCGCAUACGUCCUGAGGGAGAAAGUGGGGGAUCUUCGGACCUCACGCUAUCAGAUGAGCCUAGGUCGGAUUAGCUAGUUGGUGGGGUAAAGGCCUACCAAGGCGACGAUCCGUAACUGGUCUGAGAGGAUGAUCAGUCACACUGGAACUGAGACACGGUCCAGACUCCUACGGGAGGCAGCAGUGGGGAAUAUUGGACAAAGGUCGAAAGCCUGAUCCAGCCAUGCCGCGUGUGUGAAGAAGGUCUUCGGAUUGUAAAGCACUUUAAGUUGGGAGGAAGGGCAGUAAGUUAAUACCUUGCUGUUUUGACGUUACCAACAGAAUAAGCACCGGCUAACUUCGUG